UUUAAUUUAAAAUCACGAGAAAAUUGCCAUUAGUCAAAGUACUAUGGCCCAGUGGGCGCCGAGCAGUACGGGUUAUGGGCCCGAAAACUGUAAGGCUGCGUAAACGAGUUUCUGCAGCUGCCGGAAUGAGGGGAGUGACUUUUUAUACUCCUGGAAGUCUUAUUUCCAAUCAUUUACAACAAGUGCCGCCACACUUAGAAUUUAUUUCCCACCCUCAGCUAAUGUAAUUUUUAAUUGUUUUCACACGUUGGGAAUUGCAACUCUAAUACCAAUUUGAAAAUUUGUAAACUAUGAGAUGUUAAACAGGAAACGUUUAGAUGUUAUUGAUCAUGUGGGAAAUGCCGAUGCGCCAUCUGUUCCUAUCGCCUUUAUUUGUACAGUGAACUUGAAUAAUGGGCUGUUCUCGAUGCUGUCGGAUAAGGAGUUGUUGCUGCUUAUCAGUCAGGGUCUGGAGCCACAUCGUCGGUUGGUUAUGCGUCAUUCAAGGUGCUAUAGGUCUGACCUUUAUUGCGCGGUUCUUGGUGCAUUCCAGGUCAUUUUUAGAAAUUGCUAUGUUUUCCCCCGGAGUGAUAUUUUUCUUCUUCUUAUUGGCAGCUGGAUUUUGUGUUCUCCUGGGGAUUUGGGCGGAGAGCGUCACAGUGCUGGAUGGUGCUUAUUGCAUAUUUUGGAUUAUGAUUUUGUUAUCAAUAUUUGCAGGCAUUGGACUAGGUAUAGCGUUUAUGCACAUUGAGAUGACGUCCGCUUGCUAUGCUCCAGUUAUAGGACUAGGCGUAUACAAUUGCGUUAUAUCAGUUUUCAUGAUCGUAGUUAACAGUUACAAGUUCGAAAAGCAAGACGAAGAAGAGGCGGAAUAUUACGAUGAUUAUUAUUAAUAUGUACUUUUUAAAUAAAAACUGCCACAGAUGUAUAAUAAUCAUAUGUGUACUGAUCAUUAGGGACAAUAUUUUUUUUACAAGCCGUAUUGUAUGAAAUGCAUUUCGAAAUAAAGCAACAAGAUGUUGUGCCUGGUCGACACUUGCUGUGUCAUCAGAUCGCUACAAAGCGGUGGGAAACUCAUUGGUUGGAUCAUGGCCGCUGGCGGCCUGAUAGGAAUUUUCAUGCAAGUGAAUCAGAUCGUCCACGGCUCCGUAGAUUGGUCCGUUGUCCUCUGCAUUUUGUACUUCAUUUGGAAUACCAUUGUCGGGGUUAUAAGUUUCGUUGCUUAUAAAUUGUUAAUACAAACAGGACCGGAUGGAUUUAAUGGAAAAGAACAAUUAUGCUUUAUUGGGGGCAGUCAUCUUUGGUGCUUUAAUAUCCCUCGCUAUUGGAAUAGGUGGUUUAGUCGGCUGGCUAAAACACCAACCCAUACCCGUAAUGAUACUACUUUUAUCUUGGG